rnacentral:hammerhead_ribozyme from 1 species
GGCUGACCGACGAGUCCCAAAUAGGACAAAAUGUGCAUCCUAGAU